rnacentral:rRNA from 1 species
UACGUAGGGUGCAAGCGUUAAUCGGAAUUACUGGGCGUAAAGCGUGCGCAGGCGGUGAUGUAAGACAGAUGUGAAAUCCCCGGGCUCAACCUGAGAACUGCAUUUGUGACUGCAUCGCUGGAGUGCGGCAGAGGGGGAUGGAAUUCCGCGUGUAGCAGUGAAAUGCGUAGAUAUGCGGAGGAACACCGAUGGCGAAGGCAAUCCCCUGGGCCUGCACUGACGCUCAUGCACGAAAGCGUGGGGAGCAAACAGG